ACGCUCGACACCUACGGGAGGCGGCAGUGAGGAAUAUUGGUCAAUGGACGCAAGUCUGAACCAGCCAUGCCGCGUGCAGGAUGACGGCUCUAUGAGUUGUAAACUGCUUUUGUACGAGGGUAAACGCAGAUACGUGUAUCUGUCUGAAAGUAUCGUACGAAUAAGGAUCGGCUAACUCCGUACCAGCAGCCGCGGUAAUCUGAGCGGGCUGGCAAGGC
rnacentral:rRNA from 1 species